CGGGCUGUGGCGCAGUUUGGUAGCGCACCAUACUGGGGGUGUGGGGGUCGCAGGUUCAAAUCCUGUCAGUCCGAC
rnacentral:tRNA from 1 species